rnacentral:rRNA from 1 species
GACGAACGCUGGCGGCGUGCUUAACACAUGCAAGUCGAACGAAGAGCGAUGGUAGCUUGCUUCUAUCAAUCUUAGUGGCGAACGGGUGAGUAACGCGUAAUCAACCUGCCCUUCAGAGGGGGACAACAGUUGGAAACGACUGCUAAUACCGCAUACGAUCUAACCUCGGCAUCGAGGAUAGAUGAAAGGUGGCCUCUACAUGUAAGCUAUCACUGAAGGAGGGGAUUGCGUCUGAUUGGCUAGUUGGAGGGGUAACGGCCCACCAAGGCGAUGAUCAGUAGCCGGUCUGAGAGGAUGAACGGCCACAUUGGGACUGAGACACGGCCCAGACUCCUACGGGAGGCAGCAGUGGGGAAUCUUCCGCAAUGGACGAAAGUCUGACGGAGCAACGCCGCGUGAGUGAUGACGGCCUUCGGGUUGUAAAGCUCUGUUAAUCGGGACGAAAGGCCUUCUUGCGAAUAGUGAGAAGGAUUGACGGUACCGGAAUAGAAAGCCACGGCUAACUACGUG